ACCUUGGUUGCAGUCGGUAACAGCUACCAGAUGAUAGAGUAACCAACUCUGCAACUCCAUCACAGCAGUGCCCCACGCCACCUGAAAGCAAAGUUUUCCAUGGAAUACCAAUUAAUGUUUUCACAAGGUCAACAUUACAUAGUUUAAUUCAUCCCAAAGUUUCAGUCAAAUGCACGCUAUUCAGCCAUUUACACUUCGGAGACCGUGUGAGCUUCAAAGGAAAUUCCAAUGUCAAAGCAUCCCUGGACACCCCAUGACGUUCUGUUGAAAGCUCAUUAAAUCCCUAGAGUCUCUUAAUCAUCAACUAAUCCGAGGAUGAAUGGAGAAGAGUGUACAAAUGUAUUGUUUUCCGUCAACAGGAGCAAGGACAUAUCUCAUUAGAGUCACGCAUCUCGAUGACAAAUGGAGAUUACAGCGAAUAGAGCUCCAAAGCUCCGGCCCAACCCUUAAUUGCCCUUGUCACGUAUGGAAAAAUUCAAGGGGACAUCCCAGCUCGUCAAAUGUCACAAAAAACUUCUGAAUAAACGAUAAAUUAGUCGGAAGUUCAGACCAAUCGAUGCCUAAGAAGGCAAUUGAUCUUUAAAAUUACAACAAAUUUAGAUUUUCUUCAGAUUUUUUAGAAAUGGAAACAGUGGAAUUUACCAAUGACUUCAUGAGUAUUUCCCAACCUUUUCUGUUUCUAAAAAGGUGUUGCCAGCAGUUCCUAAUCAAGAAGCCAUUAUUUUUUCAUACUCAAAUUCUUGUAAAGGAUUCAACAUAUUUGAAAACGAUUGGGAUUUUUAUUUAACGAUUUGAUUUUUACGAGAGGAGAAGAAGCACGCAAAUAUUAUUAGUAUUCUGUUGUUGUAGAGUCCUCGAGGUGAACGAGGGCAAAUCCAAUAGAAAUUCCAAGAGAAUUCUCCAGCGACUGCGUGAAGAUUUUCUCUCGAUUUUUUUUGUACAUGCUCUCAUCCCCCGCUGCCAGUUGCCACCGGGGAGAUACCACGAGUAUUGGUUUAUCCGUUGGUUUUUCACAGCUGAAAUACCUGGUGAAUAAAGGCAAGGGGUAACCAUGAUGGGUUUGGGAGAAGACUAUCGAUUCGAUGUUCAAGAGGAUGGGAACGUCAAGGCAAGCUAGCACCAUAUUGCUGGGUCUACAUCUCUGGAGAAUUUCGUGUAACUUUUAAAUUGUCCGUGAAGUAACAUCACCCCACUUGGGCAGGAAUACGUCGGGGCAGGUGGUUGGAAGCCUGAGGUAGAUUUAAUUCGAGUUUUGCCCCGUGCCUUGGUACCCAGCUGUCGAGCAACAGCUGCGUUGAAUUGAGAGGGAGGGCUGAACAAGGGAUGCAGUUGAGAGUCAACGGUUGCCGUCAGAUCUGAGCUUCAACAAUAAAACUUUAACGAGACUCAACCAGAGAACCAGAAGUCCAAGCAAGAAGAAUAAAAGUGAAAAAUAGAUGGUGGAGAUAAAACAACGGAGAGGAGAAAAAUUCAGAGGAAUUCAGGGUGUGUUGGGACAAACCCUUGAGCUUUCUGGAUCAUCUCGAGACGGGGAUAAUGAUUCUCACAUCUAGGGCACGUGCCUGAGGGUAUUUCACUGUUUUUCUUUCCGACUUUACGAAGCCAACGGUAUUUCACGGUUGACUAUAACGUCAAAGGCAGUCAAUACGAAAAGAAAAAAAUUAUUCAGACUUGUGUAUUAUUAUUCACUAACAUUUAUGCAGUGAUGGAACGGCAUUUUUUGUUAUUUUUAUGUGACGUUUGUCGGUGGCUGUUACGCUCUGUCUAUUUGUAUGACAAAAAACGCUUUUUAAUGAAGGGAAGCACAAUUAACGUAGUUUUGGGAGGCUAGCGACGGGUGGUGAUGGGGUUUAUUCAAUCUCGUGGAAAGAUAUCUCAAAUUUUUGGAAGAAAUGGAAACUGACGUUUAUAGUUACGUGUCCGUCGAUGAAAAAAUGAAAAGUUAGUGGAUUAUUAUAAAUUAUGAUGCCAAGGAAGGGAUUUGAUUGAGGAAAAUAUCACACAACCAUUUUUAUAAAAAAUUCCGCGAGCUGAAGAAAUCGUAAUUCCUUUUCAAUGGUUUCCCAGGCUCUCAUAAUUUCUAGAUAAUUUUGAUACUUUCCCGUAUGGAAAAGAAUAUCAAGAACCUUUUCUCUUGGAUGUGAUUGCACAUUGAGGAAAAAACUCCAGGAAAAUGAUAGUGUCGCACGUCAAUGCAACUCUACAUUUUUUAGUUUUCUAGUCAAAAUUGUUGCUAUUAUCUACGAGAAUGAAGAAAUAAGAGUAUCUUCGAGGGUUGUCCAAUAAAUUUUGAUUCUAAACGCUGAACUCAGAAAUCGAAUCAAUCGUUUGUGAACGAUUUUGAGUUGUUUUCAGAACAUUUCUAGGGUUUCUUCUACAAAACUGUUGUUGUUAUGAAUUGCAGUGAACAAUUGAUUCACAUUCAGAAAAAAAAAUUAUGCCCUGCAGAAUGAAAUUUCCAGGGACUCGAAUUAUACGUUUGCUGUUUCUGCGCUUUGCGUGCCGUUUCACCAAUAGUUUUUCUACUUUUUUCCAUCUAAUAUUUGAAUAGUUUAUGUUUAAUUUAAUGUUUAAUCAAUUAUGUUUAUAAUUUAUCAUUGCAUGAGCCAGACCUGUUUCAGCAGUCUAUUUUCAUCAGAAUAGCGAACGAAACAACAAGAGGGAAUGAUCAUCCAAUCGACAUUUAAAUGAAAAACAGAAAUAGCAUUAAGUAGAUUGAAACCGUAUGACUUUCAGCGCGGGAACCCUCAACAUCCGUCUUCUUCAAGUGAUGACUAAAUCCCACACACAACGCAAAAUUCAUUCUACUGACGACAUUUACGGGAAAAAAUGCGCGUUGUGACUGUGCACGGAUGUAGCAAGAUAAAUACGAUAAAGUACGAUUAUCCUUAUCGCGGGGUUUUCAACCGUCGAUUAAUUGACGUCAUUUACACCAGUGGGGAUUCAUCAGCUAAUUAACGAAAUUUAUCGCUUGGCUGCACACACUCAUACGUUUCUACUAAUUUUGGAAUUAAUUUCUUAACGAACAAAAAUCCGAUUAUUUUCAUGAAUGAACCCACCAAUUGACUAAUAAAAAAUUCACUCUCCCCUCUUUCAAAUUGGCUUCAAAAGUGGGACCUUAAUUAUUCAUCCAAAACACGUAAAACAUAUCCUCUAACUCACCUCGAUAAUUAUUGAGUCGCAAGCGACUCCAAAACGGACGGUGAAAGGUGUCUCUUCCAAGUACGACCGAAAUAUUUUAUCAAUUAAAUCAAUUCCCUGAGUAAAAAUUGUCCAUUAUUCCAUAAUUGAAACACACCCGGUGUCCUAAUUGACGCACAAUCACACUCCACUGACGGUUAAUUUUGCUGGAGAGGAUUUUUUUCAGAAUUUCAAAUUGUAUCCUGACUCGUCGAGAGUCGAACGACGUCUGGGAUGUGUGUUGUGAUCGUGCAUACCGCGAACCCACCCCGGUUGCCAUGGUAGUGAUCACGGGUGGGGAGACAGUAGAGGAAGGGAGAAGUGGUCACGGUCCGCAGUGAUCCGACACGAGAGAGGGUCCAUUUGACCCAGUAAAUAUUCAAAAGACGAUGUUUAGUGAACCGGCUCGCAAAAACAUUCAUAGGACAUCAUAGUGGACUCGUUGGCACAUUCUGUAGAAUUUCUAUGAAACUUCUUAUUGAUUUUUGGUUCUUCUACAGAACAAUCGAAUCGAAAAUAUUGAACAGAAAAGUUCAAUACGAUUCACAAUUGUGUAUUUUAAUUUGAUAACAAUUUCUCCCCACUUGCAUAUCUGUAGGGAAUGAACUUGUCUUCAGUUUUGAUUUCUCAUAAAUAUCUCAAAAUCUAGGGGCAACGGAAAAAUCAACUUCGAGACUUUUUCAUAGAACUUAUGUUUCCCAACAAAAAUGAUUAUUAUGAAAUUUCUGUUAUUUCCCGUAAUUUUUGAGAUAUUAAUCAGAAAAUAAGAUGGGAGUCAACUCACCUCGUUUUACCACUUCCACUGGAGCUGUAAUUUUCACUUUGAAAAAUGGGAUUAGUCCAACGUUUUGUAAGGAUUAGGAAGGGUUUCCUCAUGUUAAAUACACAAGUACAUCUUUUGUGAAGUGUCUCAAAGCAUGUUUAUUAAUUUCUGUUUGGCCAUUGUUCACUGACUAAUUGUCUGAUCAUCAAUAUAUUCAUUUAUCGAUUCCAUAAUACUUGAUUCCAUUCUCACCAUGAUUAUUGUUGGUAUGUAAUUGACACACGUCUGAGGUUGUGCGUUGAUAUGAGUUGUGUUUAUACAGGUAAUACCGGCGCGAUCAAAAUUGUCUAUUGAUUCCAUUUUUUGUGCAAGUCCUUGAGGUGUGCAUAGGCCCGACUGGAGAUAUUCAGAGCCGCAUUCAAAGGUUGAAGUCCAGCUUCUCCGAGGAGGCUGAGUCCCGAGAGUCCUGCAAUAUAAAUAGAACCAUUCCAAUCACAGGUCCCAGAGAUGUUGUUUAUUAGUCAUAAUCAAUAAAUGACAUGAACUUUCCUUUUUGUUUUAUGGAUUUGAGGCCUUCCCUUCACCCCCCAGUUACGAGUAAAAAUAAGUGUGAAGUGGAUCAGCCCUCGUGUCAUACGACUUUGCGAAUCCUCCGAUUCUAGUGUCCUGAGUACUCAGCACAAACUCCCGAUUCUCUUCAGCACCGGAAAACUGCUGCACAUCGAGCAUGUGCAGCGUAGCAC